UUAUUGGCGUCGUUUGGUAUGCUGGCGAAGACGUAAGAUUCACACUCUCCAAACUUUGGUGGCAACUGAUAUAUCGUCUCAGUGUCGGGGUGGAAGCGUCUUGGAUGUCCAGUGGCGUCCGUUCCGGCGACGGCAAACGCGAGCUGACGUCUCUGAAAGCACUCUCCCGAGCCUUCCUGGCGAUCUCUUGAGCAAUUUCUUUCGCAUCCUUGGAGCCAUCUCUGAGGCGAUGUAUAACGAACUCCCUGGCAGAUUGCUGCUGCGUUUUGGUUUCGGUGACAGCGUGCAGUACUUUCUCCCUGGCCGGAGAGCCGGGCUCAAACUCC
rnacentral:lncRNA from 1 species